rnacentral:rRNA from 1 species
UACGUAGGGUGCGCGCGUUAAUCGGAAUUACUGGGCGUAAAGUGUGCGCAGGCGGCACAGCAAGUCGAGUGUGAAAGCCCCGGGCUUAACUUGGGAAUUGCGCUCGAAACUACUUUGCUGGAGUGUGGCAGAGGAAGGUGGAAUUCCACGUGUAGCGGUGAAAUGCGUAGAGAUGUGGAGGAACACCAAUGGCGAAGGCAGCCUUCUGGGCCAACACUGACGCUCAUGCACGAAAGCGUGGGGAGCAAACAGG